GGAUGGACGUACCUCUGGUGUACCAGUUGUCCUGCCAAGGGCAUGGCUGGGUAGCUAUGUACGGAAUGGAUAAGCGCUGAAAGCAUCUAAGCGCGAAGCCAACUUCAAGAUAAGAUUUCCCACCGCAAGGGUAAGACUCCAGAAAGACUAUCUGGUUGAUAGGUCGAAGGUGUAAGUGCAGCAAUGUAUUUAGCUUAUCGAUACUAAUAGGUCGAGGACUUGACCAAU
rnacentral:rRNA from 1 species